rnacentral:rRNA from 1 species
AGGGUUUGAUUCUGGCUCAGGAUGAACGCUGGCGGCGUGCUUAACACAUGCAAGUCGAGCGAAGCACUUAAGUUUGAUUCUUCGGAUGAAGACUUUUGUGACUGAGCGGCGGACGGGUGAGUAACGCGUGGGUAACCUGCCUCAUACAGGGGGAUAACAGUUAGAAAUGGCUGCUAAUACCGCAUAAGACCACAGUACUGCAUGGUACAGUGGUAAAAACUCCGGUGGUAUGAGAUGGACCCGCGUCUGAUUAGGUAGUUGGUGAGGUAACGGCCCACCAAGCCGACGAUCAGUAGCCGACCUGAGAGGGUGACCGGCCACAUUGGGACUGAGACACGGCCCAG